CAGUCAUGCAAGCAUUUUCUGCAUGAUUUACAGAAACGUUUUAGAGACAUUUUCUGAUUAUUUCUUCCUCAGAUGUUCACCUCUUCGAAAAGAGGACUCUGGGUGUGGACAUUUAGGUCACAGCUAGUCUAACACAUAGUGUGCUCUUGCGGAAAAAGACAACAAAAUUAAGUGUGCUUUAAAACAUGGGGAUGCAUACUAAAAAUGCUUGAUGUGUGAGAGCGCUGAAUGCCAUUUAUGCAUUGUGGGUACUAGAGUGGUGGUCACACCUGCGAAGAAUUAAAAUAAAUUGCAAGUAGUGUCGAGGCAGCUGCUGAAGGAUCUCCGAAAACAAGAAUUCUGCAAUUAUGAAUCUCCAGUUUAGUUCCUGUUAGUAUAAAAUGAUCAGUUAUCUUGAACAGUUGUUGGCAGAUUCCUUAAAACUGACUGGUGUACAGGACACGGCCCCUGGCUCUCUCUCAUAGUUUUUUCACAACUACUUUGGCACAUUUCUCCAAACAUUUUUCAAGUUCCUACACCAGCUCUCAACCUGCAAGAAGCUGUAACUCGCCCACAACCUUUAAUCCAUGUGUUAAAAAAGUUGUAAAGUGGUUACUGCUCUUAAAACAAGUUGCUUUGACACUGUAUCUGUGUGUGGUUAAAGGGCUCAAAGGGCGUUCCUCAUGUCUGUAUUUUCUUUCCAUAAAAAAACAAUUUUAUUUUUCCUGCAGUGGUCACACAACCCAGUACAGUAUAGUGAACAGGAAAAAAUGUAAAACAUUUUUUAUAGUUUUUCAUCAGUAUAAACAUAAUAUUGUGUGUUUAAUGACUAAAACUCUAACCUGGUAGACAGAGUAAAGCCUUGAUCCUAUUUUGGGUCCGAGUGAUGAAAAUGUCAUCAUCACACGAUGAGCACGAGGGUCCGUGUGAAUGUCAGCAUGCGUGCCUGUUUUUUGUGACCGCUUGGAAUCGUCCACAGAGAAUUUACAUUACAAUGCACCAACUGCACAUGCAAGUGGACUUCAAAGUGUAACAGGAAUGACAACUUGGCUUUCAUGUCUCCAGCUGUCUGUGUCUAUUUUGAUCAUAAAUAUACUGUACAUGCAUCAAGGAACUGUUCAGAUUGUAAGAGCUAAGUACGCCGUGUUCAAUAGCCUGUAGAGCCACCUUAAGUAGCAUUAACUUUUUUGGAGGGAGGCCUUUUUCAGCUUUAUUUGAUAGAUACAGUGAAGAAAGAAAAGCAGAGAAGACGUGAUAAAGGGCCACGGGUCAGGCUCGAACCUGAGCCAGCCGCUUUCGGCCAUGUGGCAAGUGGUUGCCUGCUCAACGCACUGCCCAAGUAGCACUAACCCUUUUCUGUAUGAUGUCAUGAGUCUCUCGGUUUGUGGCUAAAUUGUGGCCCACCCUUCUUUACAAGAUUGAUUCGGCUUAUUGAGAGUUGCCGCAUUUCAGCUUGUUUGGCACUUUGACUUGAAACACCUUUUAUUCUUUUCUUUUUCACUCGUUCCGUUGUAGAUAAGCAAUGUUUAUGGUUCACGGUCAACUCAGUGACUACAGUGUGCCCAGGUUGUGGUUGUAGAACAAGUCCAAACCACCGUGCUUGGCAGUUGGUAUGAGGUGUUUUUGCCCAUUUGUUGUGUUUGGGUUUCUCCAGACAUGGUGCUGUGCAUUAUGAUUAAAGAUCUCCACUUUGAUGUUGUGUGUCCAAAGGAUAUUAUUCCAAAAGUUGUGCAGUUUUGUUUAGGUGUAAAUUUCCAAAUCUUAGUUGUGCAGUCAUGUUCUUUUCCGAGAGAAGAGGCUCCUGACACACC